rnacentral:rRNA from 1 species
UAAGGAAUAUUGGUCAAUGGACGCAAGUCUGAACCAGCCAUGCCGCGUGAAGGAUGAAGGUCCUCUGGAUUGUAAACUUCUUUUAUAGGGGGCGAAAAAAGGGAAAUCUUUCUCACUUGACAGUACCCUAUGAAUAAGCACCGGCUAACUCCGUGCCAGCAGCCGCGGUAAUACGGAGGGUGCAAGCGUUAUCCGGAUUCACUGGGUUUAAAGGGUGCGUAGGCGGGCGUAUAAGUCAGUGGUGAAAUCCUGGAGCUUAACUCCAGAACUGCCAUUGAUACUAUAUGUCUUGAAUAUGGUGGAGGUAAGCGGAAAUAUGUCAUGUAGCGGUGAAAUGCAUAGAUAUGACAUAGAACACCUAUUGCGAAGGCAGCUUACUACGCCUAUAUUGACGCUGAGGCACGAAAAGCGUGGGGAUCAAAACAGGAUUAGAUACCCUGGUAGUCCACGCCCUAAAACGAUGAUUACUCGACGUGUGCGAUAAAACGGUACGCGUCUGAGCGAAAAGCAUUAAAGUAAAUCCACCCUGGGGGAAAGUACGACCGCAAGG